rnacentral:rRNA from 1 species
UCGGCUUAGAGUUUGAUCCUGGCUCAGAUUGAACGCUGGCGGGCAUGCUUAACACAUGCAAGUCGAACGGUAACAGGCCCUUCGGGGUGCUGACGAGUGGCGGACGGGUGAGUAAUACGUAGGAAUCUACCUUAUUGAGAGGGAUAGCCUAGGGAAACUUAGGGUAAUACCGCAUAAGCCCGAGAGGGGAAAGCAGGGGCUCGCAAGACCUUGCGCGAUAAGAUGAGCCUACGUCGGAUUAGCUAGUUGGUGGGGUAAAGGCCUACCAAGGCGACGAUCCGUAGCUGGUCUGAGAGGACGACCAGCCACACUGGGACUGAGACACGGCCCAGACUCCUACGGGAGGCAGCAGUGGGGAAUAUUGGACAAUGGGCGGAAGCCUGAUCCAGCAAUGCCGCGUGUGUGAAGAAGGCCUGAGGGUUGUAAAGCACUUUCAGUGGGGAGAAAGAGGCCAUUGCUAAUANGGAUGGUGGAUAAAGUUACCCACAGANU